GCGCAGCAGUCGAGAAAACUUCACAAUGUGCGAAAGCACGAUGAGGGAAUCCCAAGUGCUUGCACGUAAGUGUAAGCUGUUUCUCUGUCUAAAACGCAGAGAGAGUAAGGGCUGGGUAAGACGGGUGCCAGCCGCCGCGGUAAUACCUGCAGCUCGAGUGGUGACCGUUAUUAUUGGGCCUAAAACGUCCGUAGCCGGUUUAAUAAAUGCCUGGGUAAAUCGGACCGCUUAACGGUUCGAAUUCCGGGUAGACUGUUAAACUUGAGACCGGGAGAAGUUAGAGGUACUCCUGGGGUAGAGGUGAAAUUCUGUAAUCCUAGGGGGACCACCAGUGGCGAAGGCGUCUAACUAGAACGGGUCUGACGGUGAGGGACGAAGCCCUGGGGCGCAAACGGGAUUAGAUACCCCCGUA
rnacentral:rRNA from 1 species